rnacentral:rRNA from 1 species
AACGUAGGAGACAAACGUUAUCCGGAGUUACUGGGCGUAAAGGGCGUGUAGGUGGUAAUGUAAGUCUGGCGUGAAAUUUUUCGGCUUAACCGGGAAAGGUCGUCGGAGACUGCAUAACUAGAGGACGGUAGAGGCGUGUGGAAUUCCGGGUGUAGUGGUGAAAUGCGUAGAGAUCCGGAGGAACACCAGUGGCGAAGGCGACACGCUGGGCCGUACCUGACACUGAUGCGCG